rnacentral:rRNA from 1 species
UACGAAGGGGGCUAGCGUUGCUCGGAAUCACUGGGCGUAAAGGGUGCGUAGGCGGGUUUUAAGUCAGGGGUGAAAUCCUGGAGCUCAACUCCAGAACUGCCUUUGAUACUGAAGAUCUUGAGUCCGGGAGAGGUGAGUGGAACUGCGAGUGUAGAGGUGAAAUUCGUAGAUAUUCGCAAGAACACCAGUGGCGAAGGCGGCUCACUGGCCCGGUACUGACGCUGAGGCACGAAAGCGUGGGGAGCAACAGG